AACUAAUGAUGAAGGCACCUUUUGAAAAGAUCCUUAAUCUCUCUCAUGUAUCAUAUAAUGUCUCUAAAUCAAUUUGAGCAUAAGAAGAAAUGCCGUUCCUCAACUU
rfam:Gossypium raimondii Chr04_contig_990, whole genome shotgun sequence.